rnacentral:rRNA from 1 species
CAGCAGCCGCGGUAACACCAGCCGCCCAAGUGGUGGUCGCGAUUAUUGGGCCUAAAGCGCUCGUAGCCGGGCCGGUAAGUCCCUUGUGAAAUCGGACGGCCUAACCGUUCGGCGUGCAAGGGAUACUGUCGGUCUUGAGGCCGGGAGACGUCCGAGGUACUCCGGGGGUAGCGGUGAAAUGUUCUGAUCCUCGGGGGACCACCGGUGGCGAAGGCGUUCGACGAGAACGGGCCUGACGGUGAGGGGCGAAGGCUAGGGGAGCAAACGGGAUUAGAUACCCGCGUAGUCCCUGUCUCUUAUA